GCUUGAGUGCCUAAACAUAGAUCAAUUCUGAGUAGCAGUUAACACACUUGUUCAUCAUGCCUCUCUCUGAGUUUUUGAAGAUGGCUAUUGGGAAGCCUGAAUCUGGCCAGCAGAAGAUCUCAUCUACCUCAAAUCUGUCAUCUUUUCCUGAGAAUGACUUGGUUGAGCUUAAAUGGCAAAAUGGUCAGAUUGUGAUGCAAGGACAGAACAGUAGUGCUAAGAAAAGCACUGUUCCUAAUAAUCUUCCGUCGAGUGCCUCAGGGGAUCGAGACAAGUACACGGGAAAUUCAUCAACCUCUAAGAUUGGGAAGUUUGGUCUGAUGGACUCCAUGUUGAAUGAUAUGUCAUUAACUGUGCCAACUGGUGAAUUAGAUUUGAUUCAAGAGGAUGAAGGGGUGCCUUGGUUAGGAUAUCCAGCAGAUGACAGUCUGCAACAAGAUUAUUGUGCUCAACUAUUACCUGAAAUAUCUGGCGUGACGGCAAAUGAACAGUCUGGACAGAGUGUAUUUGGUUUAAUAAAUAAGAGAGGUAGUUCUGACAAGAUGAUUGGGGAUUCACAUAGUGUUCCUGUUCAUAAUGCUGUGAAUUUUGAGCGAAGAAAUACAUCAAAGGUUUCUCCCUCUUCCAGAUUUAGCCCAUUAAGUUCAUUGCCAUCUCAGAAAGGUCAUGCGUCGAUACCUACCCUAGAAUCAGGAGUUUCAGAUGUCUUUAGCAGUAAAAAUAGCAAUACUCCACUAUCUGUUUUGGGGGAAUCAAAUCAAAGUAAAGCUUCAGCUGGUGAUGCUAAAAGCAAUAGAAUUCAAAAGCAAAACAUGCCUGGAAAUAGGUCCAAUUUGUUGAACUUCUCACAUUUCUCAAGACCUGCUACAUUAGUUAAAGCAGCUAAGCUUCAAAGUAGUACUGGGGGUUCAAAUAUCUCAGGUUCACCUAUUUUAGAAGCUAAGGGAAAAAAAGGAGAAGAAAAAGUGACAAUUGGUGACAAUCAUGUUAGUGCAGCAGCAACUGAAAACUUCUUAACUUCUAAGAAGGAUAACUUUCCCCACUAUCCAACUAAUGGGGUAUCUUCCCAACUCGAGUCAAGACCAUCUGGAGCCAGCUUUCAUGAUAGAUCAUGUCAGGCUGAACAGUCUGAUAAUGCAUUCAGAGAUUGUUCAAGUAACAAUGACAACACCCAUGAUCAUUUUACCAGUGCUAAGGCAACCAAGGAUAUUGCCGAUGGUGAGAGAAAUGUUGAACAUGGGGUUGCUUGCUCAUCUGUAUGUUCUGGUAGCAGUGCAGAGAGAGGAUCAAGUGAUCAGCCUCUCAACCUAAAGAGAAAAACCCGAGAUAAUGAGGAGUUUGAGUGUCG
rnacentral:misc_RNA from 1 species